rnacentral:rRNA from 1 species
AGCGAACGCUGGCGGCGUGCCUAACACAUGCAAGUCGAGCGCGGGCAUUUCGGGGGUAACCCCGGGAUGUGCUGAGCGGCGGACGAGUGAGUAAUACGUGGACAACCUGCCUUAAAGCUUGGGAUAACUCCGGGAAACUGGAGCUAAUACCGGAUAAGACCACGGUGUCUAUGGAUGCUGAGGUAAAGGCGGCCAGGAAACUGGCUGUUGCUUAAAGAUGGGUCCACGUCCCAUCAGGUAGUUGGUGAGGUAAAGGCUCACCAAGCC